CAUGAACGUUGUAUUCUUUUGUAUUCAACAGACCACCCAGGGUAAAGGCAGCUUUCUCACUUACUAAUCAGAAUUGUUGGUUUUAAUUCAUUUUGGAUUUUAAGAUUUCUUACUUUCUUGUCAGCUCAGAAAUUUAUUUAAGAUGAUUUUUAUCUUUUAUUCAAUACUUUAGCUUGGAGAACCAUUCAGAGUUUCUAACUCAUUGUAUUGCCAAAAAUAGAAAACAGCAUGGUUUCUUUUGAAAAUGUCUAACUUUAAAGUUACUUGUGUGUGUCACUCAGAUUCACAUAGCUUUUUUGCCUAGUAAUGUAGUAUCAUGUGGCAAGGCUAUAAAAAUGUUUACAAUCUUUUAUUUAAUAUGACUCUUGAGAGUUUAUUCUAAGGAAAUAAUUGAAUAGUAACAAAACACUAUUAACACAAAGCAUAGCAAUUUGAUUUGGGCAACCAAACACUGGAAACAACCUAAAUGUCCAUUACAGGAAUCAUUUAUGAAGCAAACACUAAAAUAUUUAUUGUGAAGAUUAUGAGAACAUAGAAGACAGUUAUGAGAGUAAAUUUGAAAACCUGAACA
rnacentral:lncRNA from 10 species